AGUGAACGCUGGCGGUAGGCCUAACACAUGCAAGUCGAACGGCAGCACAGUAAGAGCUUGCUCUUACGGGUGGCGAGUGGCGGACGGGUGAGGAAUACAUCGGAAUCUACUUUUUCGUGGGGGAUAACGUAGGGAAACUUACGCUAAUACCGCAUACGACCUACGGGUGAAAGCAGGGGAUAUUCGCACCUUGCGCGAUUGAAUGAGCCGAUGUCGGAUUAGCUAGUUGGCGGGGUAAAGGCCCACCAAGGCGACGAUCCGUAGCUGGUCUGAGAGGAUGAUCGGCCACACUGGAACUGAGACACGGUCCAGACUCCUACGGGAGGCAGCAGUAGGGAAUAUUGGGCAAUGGGCGCAAGCCUGACCCAGCCAUACCGCGUGGGUGAAGAAGGCCUUCGGGUUGUAAAGCCCUUUUGUUGGGAAAGAAAAGCAGCAGGUUAAUACCCCGCUGUUCUGACGGUACCCAAAGAAUAAGCACCGGCUAACUUCGUG
rnacentral:rRNA from 1 species